GCUCACUCCUGGUCUCAAGUUUAGGGGCUUGUGAAGAAUAUUAUCAUACAUUUCAGCAACAUCGCGGCAGUAAAAAGGAGGCUGGGAAAAUAAAAGCAAAGCAAAACAACAGAGAACGUGGCUGUUGUGACACUGAAUAUUGCUCAAGGAGACAGAGCCCCGGGCGUGGAAGUGGUAUUUUACACAUACUCUCACUGUGUCGGUUAACAUAAAUAACAGCAGAAAUUUCCAGAAAGGGUGUCAACAGUCUCUGCUUAAGCGUUUUGGGGACCAUGGUUAACUGGCACAAACAAAAGCGGGGACUGUGUGAUUAAAACGGUCCUUUUCUUUUAAAAAAUCCUUUCUCCAAGACAGAUCUCAUCAGAAUCUUUAACAUGCUGAGAUACAGAAUGCACCAUCAGGGAGAGGAUACAACAUGAAGCUCUCCUGCUCUGGCUUCACUACGGGGAGGGGCACUGGCAAAACCACACAUGAUGCUUCGCACUCCUGUAUGUCCUGCAGGGUGUGUGGUCUGCUGAACACUGCUUUCACUCUGCAAACAGCUGUUGGUAAGGCACUAUCAGCUCAAGGCUUGCAUAAGAACCUUUUGGAUUUCAGGUUACCUUUUUUUUUCUACCCACCGUCUGUGUUAGACAGCUAAUUAUAAAACUCACCUCCCCUCCAUUAACAAAAUCCAGAACAAAAUAAAGCUUCUCAGUUGUUUGGAAAGAAUAGUGCAAUCCAACCAAAAAUGGAUGUUUCACAUUUUUCAAGAGCACAUUGCGUUCAGCCAUAAUAUGUUUUUGCUGGAAAAAAAAAUGCAAAAUAUCAAUUUGUAUAAUAUACCAGAAAACAACUGCUAACAAAGAAAAUAGGGUCAGGAGAAACAAGAGCUAUUUUAUUUUACCUCCUUUCUGUUGAGAACUAUUUUUUUCUGUAACACUUUGACAGCAUAAAAUUUUCCAUCCAGUUUUCGUUUUGCAAGAAGAACCUGUUAGAAAGAUUUGCAAAUGAUUAGAAAGUUUGCAAUUUUAAAAUUUUUAAGACUGCAAGAGUUUCUAAAAAGCAAAUCCACAAGGGACCUGUAUUUUGUUUUGAGUACUGAACAUUACUGAAUUUACUUGUGUAAUCUGAUUUUCUCUGAAGUAUUUUAAUAAAACGAAAAUGGCACUGA